rnacentral:lncRNA from 1 species
UCCGGUCCAUUUGUAAUUGAUCCAAUAAGGAUUUAUUUAAAAUAUUUCUCUUUGGCCCUUUGAUUUCUUCAAUUAUCUUUUAAUGAGUCUUGUAACAAUUGCCUGCAUAAUGAAACUUGAACCAAAAUUAGUUUCUAUAUUUAAAACAACUAUUCAUUUCAUUUAGGUCCUGGUAACGUUUUCUUGAAACUUUUGUAAACAACACCCUGUUAGUUGAUAACUGGUAGUUUAUUUAGUUAUACCAGGACCUUGUCAUUGUUUUAUUUCACUUAGGUCCUUAGUUUAUAUUUCUUGGCAAAAUUGAUGUUUUUACCCUGGAUUUUCAGUAUAUUCUUAUAUUUUAAACCUCUUUGCAGUAGAAAAACUGUUCUUGACUGUAUUUUUAUCAGGAUAUCCAGUCAAGUGAUAACAAGUAUCCUUAGUGUGCCCAUGGAACCAACAAUGGUCACACCUAAUUUUCAGAUUAAGUUUAAUUCCUUUCCUACUGAAUUUGUAUUUUUCAGAGUUAAAAGGUUCAUUCCUAAUGUUGAAAACCUUUUUUCACAACCACGACAUUGUAGUAAUCACCUACUGAAUUUUCUCCCUGAAAUAAAUUGGCUAAUUCUUGGUCAAUUUAGAACCUUAAAGGUGUCUGGCCUUGGCUAUAUCUAAUUUUCAGAAUUUCCCGUGUCUCAUAAGCACUUUUAGCAGACUUAAUUGAGGCAGCAAUAUUUUUUUCGCAUGCAUUGAUAAUCCAAGAAAAAACUACCCCAUUGACUGUUUCCCAUACCUCAAACUCCUCUGAGUUUUCAUCUUUAGGCCCAGAAAUCUUCCCAUUAAUAAAUUUUUGCUUUCUUCUAGUAACUAGCCAAAGCAUCGUAUCUUUGGACCAUUAGGGGUAAUUCAUUUGACCUUUAAUUAGGUCAUUAACUAUUUUAUUACUAGGAUUAUCACUAAAGUGUGGAAAAUAUACAGAAGACCUAGUUGUGAACGCAGUCUCCAGAUCAAACGCCUUCUUUUCUGUUGAAAUUGGAACUGCAACCUCUGCAUUUGAGGUUUCCAUAUCUGUACUUCCUUCUCCUUGAUUUUCCAUGAGAUCAGAGUAUAACACAAACUGGAAGGAACAAAAACAGCAACUAACAGGAACAGCAACCCGAUGAUACCAUAUAAAGCAAUCUCCACCCGAAGUCCACGACGAAAAGCCAAGAAUCACCAGAUGAGUCGCCGGCGAGAGAGGGAUUUGG